rnacentral:rRNA from 1 species
CCGACGAUACAGGGUGAUAGUCCCGUAGUUGACGACGUGUGUUCAGUGAAAUCGAGUAGGGCGGGACACGUGAUAUCCUGUCUGAAUAUGGGGGGACCAUCCUCCAAGGCUAAAUACUACUGACUGACCGAUAGUGAACCAGUACCGUGAGGGAAAGGCGAAAAGAACCCCUGUGAGGGGAGUGAAAUAGAACCUGAAACCGUGUACGUACAAGCAGUAGGAGCAGGCUUGUCCUGUGACUGCGUACCUUUUGUAUAAUGGGUCAGCGACUUAUAUUCAGUGGCAAGGUUAACCAUCUAGGGGAGCCGUAGGGAAACCGAGUCUUAACUGGGCGUUCAGUCUCUGGAUAUAGACCCGAAACCAGGUGAUCUAGCCAUGGGCAGGUUGAAGGUUGAGUAACAUCAACUGGAGGACCGAACCGACUAAUGUUGAAAAAUUAGCGGAUGACUUGUGGCUAGGGGUGAAAGGCCAAUCAAACCUGGAGAUAGCUGGUUCUCCCCGAAAGCUAUUUAGGUAGCGCCUCGGACGAAUACUACUGGGGGUAGAGCACUGUUAAGGCUAGGGGGUCAUCCCGACUUACCAACCCUUUGCAAACUCCGAAUACCAGUAAGUACUAUCCGGGAGACACACGGCGGGUGCUAACGUCCGUCGUGGAGAGGGAAACAACCCAGACCGCCAGCUAAGGUCCCAAAUUACUACUAAGUGGGAAACGAUGUGGGAAGGCUCAGACAGCCAGGAUGUUGGCUUAGAAGCAGCCAUCAUUUAAAGAAAGCGUAAUAGCUCACUGGUCGAGUCGGCCUGCGCGGAAGAUGUAACGGGGCUAAGUAGUAAACCGAAGCUGCGGCAAUGCACUUUAGUGCAUUGGGUAGGGGAGCGUUCUGUAAGCGGUUGAAGGUGUGUGGUAACGCAUGCUGGACGUAUCAGAAGUGCGAAUGCUGACAUGAGUAACGAUAAAGGGGGUGAAAAACCUCCUCGCCGGAAGACCAAGGGUUCCUGUCCAACGUUAAUCGGGGCAGGGUAAGUCGACCCCUAAGGCGAGGCCGAAAGGCGUAGUCGAUGGGAAACGGGUUAAUAUUCCCGUACUUCUUACAAUUGCGAUGGGGGGACGGAGAAGGCUAGGUG